CAGAGGGUGCGAGCGUUGUCCGGAAUCACUGGGCGUAAAGGGCGCGUAGGCGGCUUCUCACGCGUGCGGUGAAAGCUCGGGGCUUAACUCCGAGUCUGCCGUGCGAACGGGGAGGCUUGAGUCUGGUAGAGGUCGAUGGAAUUCCGGGUGUAGCGGUGGAAUGCGUAGAGAUCCGGAAGAACACCGGCGGCGAAGGCGGUCGACUGGGCCAGUACUGACGCUGAGGCGCGACAGCGUGGGGAGCAAACAGGAUUAGAUACCCUGGUAGUCCACGCCGUAAACGAUGGGCACUAGGUCCUUGGGGGAGCGACCCCUUGAGGGCCGGCGCUAACGCAUUAAGUGCCCCGCCUGGGGAGUACGGCCGCAAGGCUG
rnacentral:rRNA from 1 species